GACUCUCAGCAAUGGAUAUCUCGGCUCUUGCAUCGAUGAAUAAGGUAGCAAAAUGUGAUACUUGGUGUGAAUUGUAGAAUCCCGUGAAUCAUCGAGUAUUUGAACGCAUGUUACACCCGAAGUCAUUAGGCUAAGGGUACAUCUGCCUGGGUGUCA